rnacentral:rRNA from 1 species
AAAUGAAUUGACGGGGGCCCGCACAAGCGGUGGAGCAUGUGGCUUAAUUCGAUGCAACGCGAAGAACCUUACCAAGGCUUGACAUGCAGCUGCACGUCUCGUGAAAGCGAGAUUCCUUCGAGGGUGCUGCACAGGUGCUGCAUGGCUGUCGUCAGCUCGUGCCGUGAGGUGUUGGGUUAAGUCCCGCAACGAGCGCAACCCUUGUGAUUAGUUGCCACUCCGUAAAGGAAGCACUCUAGUCAGACUGCCUGUGAUAAGCAGGAGGAAGGUGAGGAUGACGUCAAGUCAGUAUGGCCUUUAUGCCUUGGGCUGCACACGUGCUACAAUGAACGGUAUAGAAGGAUGCAAGACCGCAAGGUGGAGCAAAUCCCCAAAACCGUUCUCAGUUCGGAUUGAAGUCUGCAACUCGACUUCAUGAAGUUGGAAUCGCUAGUAAAGGCGUAUCAGCUACGACGCCUUGAAUACGUUCCCGGGCCUUGUACACACCGCCCGU